CUUGCCUCCCAAAGGCAUUGAAGGUAUGUUAGUAGGAGGUAGAGAAGAGAAAAACUAUGCAGAUGCUCAGCUCACUGAUGUCCUGACCUGCAAAUGUCUGAAUUAUUAGUAGCCUAACAUU
ensembl:snoRNA